rnacentral:rRNA from 1 species
AAGUCGAGCGACAGAUAAGGAGCUUGCUCCUUUGACGUUAGCGGCGGACGGGUGAGUAACACGUGGGUAACCUACCUAUAAGACUGGGAUAACUUCGGGAAACCGGAGCUAAUACCGGAUAACAUUUGGAACCGCAUGGUUCUAAAGUGAAAGAUGGUUUUGCUAUCACUUAUAGAUGGACCCGCGCCGUAUUAGCUAGUUGGUAAGGUAACGGCUUACCAAGGCAACGAUACGUAGCCGACCUGAGAGGGUGAUCGGCCACACUGGAACUGAGACACGGUCCAGACUCCUACGGGAGGCAGCAGUAGGGAAUCUUCCGCAAUGGGCGAAAGCCUGACGGAGCAACGCCGCGUGAGUGAUGAAGGGUUUCGGCUCGUAAAACUCUGUUAUUAGGGAAGAACAAACGUGUAAGUAACUGUGCACGUCUUGACGGUACCUAAUCAGAAAGCCACGGCUAACUACGUGCCAGCAGCCGCGGUAAUACGUAGGUGGCAAGCGUUAUCCGGAAUUAUUGGGCGUAAAGCGCGCGUAGGCGGUUUCUUAAGUCUGAUGUGAAAGCCCACGGCUCAACCGUGGAGGGUCAUUGGAAACUGGGAAACUUGAGUGCAGAAGAGGAAAGUGGAAUUCCAUGUGUAGCGGUGAAAUGCGCAGAGAUAUGGAGGAACACCAGUGGCGAAGGCGACUUUCUGGUCUGUAACUGACGCUGAUGUGCGAAAGCGUGGGGAUCAAACAGGAUUAGAUACCCUGGUAGUCCACGCCGUAAACGAUGAGUGCUAAGUGUUAGGGGGUUUCCGCCCCUUAGUGCUGCAGCUAACGCAUUAAGCACUCCGCCUGGGGAGUACGACCGCAAGGUUGAAACUCAAAGGAAUUGACGGGGACCCGCACAAGCGGUGGAGCAUGUGGUUUAAUUCGAAGCAACGCGAAGAACCUUACCAAAUCUUGACAUCCUUUGAAAACUCUAGAGAUAGAGCCUUCCCCUUCGGGGGACAAAGUGACAGGUGGUGCAUGGUUGUCGUCAGCUCGUGUCGUGAGAUGUUGGGUUAAGUCCCGCAACGAGCGCAACCCUUAAGCUUAGUUGCCAUCAUUAAGUUGGGCACUCUAGGUUGACUGCCGGUGACAAACCGGAGGAAGGUGGGGAUGACGUCAAAUCAUCAUGCCCCUUAUGAUUUGGGCUACACACGUGCUACAAUGGACAAUACAAAGGGCAGCUAAACCGCGAGGUCAUGCAAAUCCCAUAAAGUUGUUCUCAGUUCGGAUUGUAGUCUGCAACUCGACUACAUGAAGCUGGAAUCGCUAGUAAUCGUAGAUCAGCAUGCUAAGGUGAAUACGUUCCCGGGUCUUGUACACACCGCCCGUCACACCACGAGAGUUUGUAACACCCGAAGCCGGUGGAGUAACCAUUUAUGGAGCUAGCCGU